rnacentral:piRNA from 1 species
UUAACCACAAACUUGAGAGCCCAUUGUUCCU